rnacentral:lncRNA from 1 species
CCAACUUACGUCAAGUCCCUGAUUCUGUAAGUAAGAAAAUACUUCCCUGUACUCCCCUAUCAUCUCAGAAUCAACAUCAGCCAUAGAUAUUUUGAAAAAGUCGUUCAGUGAGGUGCACAACAUAUUCAGAUUCAUUGUACAUAACUUCUUGUUUUUUGUGUUGAAGUGCUUAAAGGUUUCAGGGUACUUAUGCAUAAUGCGAUCAAGCAGGCCUACAAACUCAAUACUAACCUCAUGGCUCUGCCAUAACCCAGAAUCUCUUUGCCCUCUUGAAGAGCUCACUUGAUCUUUGUCUGUCCCUUCUACAUAGCGUCAGUAUGACAAACCCUGUUAGCAUCUACCAUGGAAUCUUCCACAAUUUUUUUCUGUCGGAUGAAUUUAGGUUCAUGAUAAACAAGGUCAAUGCAAAGAAUUUGAAUUGUGCAUCAUUCUAGAUCUCAAAACAACAAAUUUGAUCAUUCCAGGUCAAAAGCAAGGAUAAUAAAUUUUCAAACAACUAAAUUCUUAGAUCAAUGUAAUAUUAAUAAGAUCUUCAAAUACUAUGUAUCAUCAAGUGUAUAAGUUGUAUAGAGCACCUAAAUAUAUCAAUGACCCGUGAAGAGUUCAGACUAUGAGGUAAAUUUUUUUAUGGUGAAGAGUUUCUAUUAGCAAUAAAAAAUAAUAAGAUCCAGUUUGUCUACAAUUUAAAGUCAAUCGAAAAUUUCAAAUGUCAGCGAACUUUGACCUUAGGUAUUUGGAUGUUUCUACACAAUUUUAAGCUUGAUUUGGUUUUAUUUAUAAUUAAAACUAACUUGUAUUUGAAAAAUAAAAAUGUAAAGAAAUAGUACUAACAAAAAUUUAUGCAACAAAAAGCUAGAAGCCUAGAAUAGGCACAACCUGAAAUGAGAACAACCAACAAAAAGCACUGAGCUUGGGCAUAAACUAUUUCCACAAUUUGGAUGUUAACAUAAUAGAGUAAAUAAGUAAUCGAAACUAUAGAUAAUAGAUAGCUCCCUUGUUUCCCGUCACAAUAUCAUAAGUUGAAAAAGAUACACCUAUUUCAUAACAAAAGAUACAUGCUUCUUAUCAUUUACAAUCGACAUAAACAAAUACAUCUGAGUUCCAAAUAAGGAUGAAUUCUUAAUUACCUGGGGCAGUUUUGUGACGAAGGUGGCAUUGGGAGAGCCGCCAAGUAAAUAGCUUCUAAGAGCACCAGAUAUAUUUGACUCUUCGAAUCCCCUUGGUAACUUCACAUACUCCAACUUACUGAAUGGGGAAGGUAAACUAGCAAGAAUGUUGGAAAUCUUACUGAGCACCUAUAGCAACAAAUAUGAAGGAGAGGAGAUCAAGCAAAAUAUAAAAAAAUUGAGUUUUAAAGAUAUAGGACGAAUUGAAUGUACAUAAAAUUGUUAAAUACUAUAUAACAGCCAUUGUCCAAGACAAAUUUAACCAAAGGCCUCAAGUUCCACAAAUAAAUACCAAUAGUGUCUUCAAUCAGACAAGAAAAUAAAAGUUAUUACUUUUAUCACCAAUCAGACAACAUAUAUAAAGUUACCUCAAUGCUCUCCAAGUCAAAAGUGAGAUGCUUCGCAUUACAAAGUCCUAGAAGCAUAUUUGUUAACUGCCAAUAAAAUUGUUUCCUUUGUGUCAAUAUCACGUUUUGAAACCAACCCUGUAAACUUAUAUUAACAUUCUCUAACUCGGGAACUCCAGUUAUGACCGUAAAGAUACCAAAAGAAUUGAAGUUGCAGAGUUUUGGUGCUGAAACCACAAUAUUGAUAGAAGGAGAAUGCUUGAGGCGGGCUCUGAUACUCAGGUUCAACAAUUGAGGAGGACAAGAAAUGAAACAAUUUCCCUGGUUAAGUGUUAGAAAUAAUGUAAGAUUUUUUAGAUUGACAAGUGCAGAAAUUAUGUCACUCACUUUGGCAGAAACAUAUAUAUUAUCCAGUUGUAGACUUAAUAAAGCCGGUAAGUCCCAAACUUUGGGCAACAUACAGUGACACAGACGGAGUGUUGUUAAAGCUGGCAAACUGAAAGAAGAUGAGCCCGAUAAAUCCCAACCCUCAAGACACAGAGUUGUUAGGGCAGGCAAGCAUGUGAACAAUGAAUCCUUCAGCCAUGAAUUUCUCUGUUUAUCUUCGUAAGAACGCACAUACUUGAGGCGGAGAGUUGUUAAGGCAGGUAAAUCCCAAAAAUCCGAUUGCAGUUCACAUGUUUCGAGACUCACUUUUAAUGUAAGUUUGUUUAACGACACAGAGCUGAAAGUGGACAACUUAAAAGGUAUAUGAUCACGUAAUAGUUCAAGAUAUAAUGAUUGCGCAUUAUGGGAAAUUGCAUAGUGUGCAAACUCUUCAAAAAAAUUCCAGGAACACGUCGCAUUGUAAACACGAAACUUCAAAUCAGAAAUAUUGGAUUGAGGGUUUCGAUCAGAAAAAAUACGACGGAUGAAAUUAGCAACAUAUUUAGAUUCAGAGAUUUGAUACGGACCGAUUUGGAGAAAAGGGAGAGUGGUCCAUAGAAGCUGCCAUCGUCUCGAGAGAGUGCAGGUUUCGACAGCCUGUUUUGCAUCUACAAAUGAGAGGAUUUUGUGAAUGAGUUCAUCAGGCAAUCUGCUGAGUCUGUCUUCGUCUCCGAGUUGUUGAGGAAAUGCUCUUGUUCUUGCUUUCUUCUUCUCUCCAGACCCCAUUUCUCGCUCUGCUCUGCUUGCUCUCUUCUAACCUAACCCUUCAGUACAAUUCAAUCGCUUAUUCAUCCGACUUUUGUCUUACCACGAGUCCACAACCCUGUUUGGGGCAACUUAUUUUUAAAAAAUUUAACGACUUAAUUUUUUGAAAAAGGAAAAUAGAUUUUUUUGUCAACCAAGUUAUUAUGUUUUUAGAAACUUACCACUCAACUAAUUCUUUUUUCAUUUUAGUCACUAAUUUUAGGUUUGGAUUUGUUUUUAGUCACAAACUUAAGUUCGGAUAUGAUUAUUAGCAAUGUGAUAUUUUUUUGUAGCAUCAUUAAUACAUAGUGAUAGUAUAUAAGAGCAAGUCCAACACUAUGCUAAGAGCUUCCCUAAAAAUAUUAUAAAAUAAUAUGUCUUAGUGAUUUAGCACAAGAUUAUUUAGCACAUGAACUCCAAUAGUACUCCCUAUAUCCAUUCCCUAUUAUUAUAAUAUUAUUAAAUUUAAACAUUUUGGGAUGUUGUGAAAAGGGAAAUGAUGUGGAGGAGAGAUGGAAAUGAAUAUUUUAAUGAUAAAAAUAGUUUAGAAGUGAUUAGCAUAUUCUAAAAAUAGGGAAGGGGAGGCUUGUGCUAGUGAUUUAGCACAUCACUAGCAUAGUGUUGGAGUGCAAUUUUAUCCCAUAUUCCCUAUUUUUGGAUUUAAGACUUGAUUUAGCACACCUAUUGGACUUGCUAAUGUGAUGUAUAUUUAUAUCUUUAUAUAUAUAAAUAAUAACAUAAAAUGAAGCGAUAAAAUAUUAAAAUGAAAUCAUAAUUAGAUUUCUAUAAAUUAAUUAAACCAUCAAUAUGGAAUCAAUGACUUCAAACAAUUCCUCCGCUCUCUGAUAAAAUAAUGUCUAGUUGAGUGAUACGAUGCAUCAUAUUUUACUAUUAAAGUUUCAAUCGACUAGUUCAGCCUAAGAUCUCUCUUAAGUUUAUCUUCAUAAAUUUUAAUAACUUUAUCUUAUUAUAAUUUUCAAGAUAAAGAUAAAUUAAUAGAGAGGAAAACUUAAUCUUCGAUGAUUUAUGAGAUUUUUUUUUUUGCGUCUAAAAAUUCAAACACUAAAUUUUUAUUCGGAAAAAAAAAUAAAAUAAUUUAUGAGACUACAUCUUUUAGAAGUCAUAAAAUGCAUGUCAAAUUCUUAUCAUCCAAGAUAAACGAUCUUGGGUACAUAAAAGUACUAUAUAUAAGGGAAAAUAGAUUUUUUUGCCACCCAACUUAGUAUUUGUUUAGAAACCUACCACUGAACUAUAAUUUUUUUCUUUUUUGCCACUAUGUUAGGUUCGGAUUAUUUUUUUUGUCACUAACGUUAGGUUCGGAUUUGAUUAUUAACAUUAUGUUAUCCUUUUUAGAGUUAAUUGCAUUUGGCACCCCUUUGAUUUCAGCAUGUUGCACAUUGCACCUAACAAUUUUGGAAUAAACACUAUGCAGCCUCUUAAUUUUAACCCGUAGACACUUUGCACCCUUUCCGUUAUCUUCUGCCGUUACAGUUAACUUUUGAAGGAGCAUUUUGGGAAAUUUUAUUAUAUUUAAUUAAAAUCAAACCUUUAUUUAAAUUUUCCGACCAUCUAAACGAUAUUUUUCGGAAAUCUAUUUUUCGGUAGUCUGCAAUAUAAUAGUGAUCUGUGUCUAUAUCUUUAUAUGUAUUACUCCAUAUGUGCCCUAGGUAAUUUAUCUUAGAGGACGAGAGUACUCUAAGACUAAAUUUUUUAGGUUCUUAAAAUGCCUGUUAAACUCUCGUACUUCAAGGUAAACUAGCUAAGGGACAUAUAAAUGACUGUAUAUAAUGUUAUAGACACAUAUCAUAUCACCAUAAUAUUGCAGACUACCACUAGGUAUAUAGAUGAUUGUAUAUAAUGUUAUAGACACAUAUCAUAUCACCAUAAUAUUGCAAAUUUUAGAAUAAAAAGAUCUGUAUCGGUAUCCGGUCGGAUAUUAUCCGGAUACGGAUAAUAUCCGUAUCCGCUUUUUCAAACUUCACCAGAAAUCAAAUAUACAUUCCGAGAUUAAUUAAAAAAACAUAUUUUGAACCGUUCAACAACAAAUGUAUACCCAGUCAGAAAUUAAUAACAUACUUUAGUAGAAGUUUGGGCAUUCAGGCCAAAUAUUUCAAACAAAAUAUUAAUUUUAACAACUUAAAAUCACAAAACAACACUAUCUGCAACAAUUUUAAAAAGAAAAAGCCUGAUGAAGAUAGUUCCAUUUUCUCCAUUUGCAAGAUACUUAAUGUUUCUUUUUUAUUUUAAAUAUAAAUUGUUUUUCAAAAUUUAUAUGAUAAAAUAAAAAAUAUAAGUAAAUAAUAAAUUUAUAUAAGUAUUAUUAUAUACAUAUAAUAAUAAUUUCGGAUACGGAUCUUUUCGGAUACGGAUACAGAUUUUUUUGACAGCCCUAACUACCACUAUGUUUUUAUAAUGCUCAAAAAAUAACAUAUUGUUAAUAAUCAAAUCAAAACAUAAUGUUAGUGACAAAAAAAAAAAUCCAACGUUUUUUUAAAGAAAAAAAAACAACAUUAAAUUUUAUUCAGAAAAAAUAAAAUAAAAUAAUUUUUGAAAUUUUUUGGAGUCUCAAAAUGCGUGUCCAACUCUCGUCCUCCAAGGUAAACUACCCAGGACACUAUAUAAAGAUAUAGACACAAUCAGAUCGCCAUUAUAUAAAGACUAACACUAUAUUUUAAUAAUAGUAAAAAAAUAACAUAGUGUUAAUAAUCAAAUCCGAACCCGACGUUAGUGACAAAAAAAAGUCCGAACCUAACACUAGUGACAAAAAAGUAAAAAAUUAUAGUUCAGUGGUAGGUUUCUAAACAAAUAAUAAGUUGAGUGGUAAAAAAAUCUAUUUUCCCUAUAUAUAAAGAUAAACAUAUAUGAAAUCAUCAAAAUAUUACAGAUUAUCACUACAUUUUAAUAAUACUACAAAGAAUAAAUAUAAUGCUAAUAAUCAAAUCUGAACCUAACUUUAGUGGCAAAAAAUAAAUCCGAACCUAACAUGAGUGACUAAAAUAAAAAAGAAAUUAGUUGAGUGGUAAGUUUCAAAAAACAUCAUAAGUUGGGUGACAAAAAAAAUCUAUUUUCCCUUUUGGAAAAAAUAUAUAUUUUUUAUAAUUUUUUUAGAUAUAAAUGUUAAAAAAAUGUUUUAUAUUCAUUAUUUAGCAAAAAACUAAGGACUUAUUUCACAAAAAUAGUAGAGUCGUUGGUACUUUUCUCCAGAAAACCCCCUAUUUUUUAAGAAUAAGCUUAGUCAAACUUCCUAUUUUUUAAGAAUAAGCUUAGUCAAACUUCUGCAAUCUAGAAGCAACUUAUUCGUAUAAUCAAUAAUUUAUAUUUGACUUUACAAAGAUGUAUAGAUUCAUUUUCCAGAGAUAACUAGCUCAUAACAUGUAGUAGUGAUUUGUUAUUUUAUCAUAUAUCUUUUAAUAUUUAAUUUUAUCAAGGGAUAUUCCCUAUAAUACAUGAAUUGGCUUUCCCAAUGAUAUCAUCACAUUUUUGACUUAUAACUCUGGUAACCAUAUACUAAUGAUUUCCCACACAUAACACCCUCAUGUUAUGUAAAACGUAAUAGAAUUAAUUUCAAAUUGUAAAAUAAAUUGUAUUUUUGAAAACCUUAUUAAAAAAAAUACAUGAAUAAACCUUUUAAUCAUAUAAACCGCAGUUAAAUUGAGUUAGAUAUAUUUAAAUUUCAUAACCGAACUUUGAUCAUUUAUAUACUCCCAUUUAUAUGAUCUAAAAAUUUAUUUACAAAAUUUGGUAACCACAACAACCAUAAAACAAAUCAUAUAUAGAAGUGUGUAUUUGCAAUUAAGGUCAAGUAAGUGACUUGGUACUGAUCAAAUAACAAUUAGACACUAAUAUUGUCAAGCAUCUUUAUUAUGUAUGAAUGGUAUCUAAUCCACUAGUCAAACAACACUAGAUCUUUAUCAAUGGUUGAUAGUAUUUUCCUCCGCAUCACUUCAUAGGACUCAUGCGGGGAAACAUGAGUGUGUUAAAACAUGUUUGUGCCUUGGGAAGAUACUCUCGCGAUCCAUCACUUUGUUGCUAGUUCCUUAGAGAUGAUCUAAUGCUUGGAAUCCUCCUCGUGGCAGGUAUAUGAUAGAUGUCCAGAUAUAAAACAGUUUCCUCUUUUUUUUACCGACAAAUCACCAACACAUAGUAGUGAAAUCAAUGCAUAAGAUAUAAAAUCUGGUGUCCAAUUUACAAUUAAAAUACCGCCAACUUCACAAAAACAAUGUUGUCCAAUAUGAUGUGUAGUUGAACUUUGUGAAUAAGUGUCAUAACAAUGAGUCCCUCAACAUAUAUAUAAAAGGCGUCCUCAUAAGACGAUCCUAAAUAACAAAUUAAUAAACCAUUAUGCAAGGACAAAUAUAGUUUUGAUAUGAGAUAUAUAUACUAAGUAAAGACAAAAAUUGCUAGUUUUAUACGUGAAAGAAUAAUAUAUGAUAAUUAGUCAUACAAUAAUUUUCUGAGGAAAAUAGAGUACUAGAUCUGAGGAAAAACAUAACACUACUAAAAUUGUAGAUAAUAUUAUGCAACGGUAAAAAAUAUUGUGAAAUACUGAAACAGUAAAGAAUCACAUAGUUUGAAUAUUAAAUUUUUGUUUUUUAUAUGUUAUGAUUUUGGUAUUGACAUUCAAAUCAAGGUGAACAAUCACGAUUUGAGAUGCUUAACAAUCAUUAACAAUUCUUUCAGACUCCUUCGACAUCAUCUCAUUGCUUGUAUUCUCUAUUAUUUUCGUCAAAUUUUCUAAUUAAUUAAGAAUAGGAUAUUAGUGGGAAUAGUGUUUGUAAUGAUUUUAAUUCAUCACGAUAUUUGUUGAAAAUUUGCGAGUCAAGACAAGGCUUCUUAUGUAAAUAUAUUUGUUCAGAGAACAUUUGAUAAUUAUAAUUUUUUACAUAUCAAUUGGAUUACGACUGGUGUUAAAAAAAUUCGUUUUGCUAUAAUGAUGGUAUUUUCUUAAAAAAUUGAUCGAAAUGUUAUGUUUAAAAUUAAUGAGUAUCUUGUAUAAAUAAAAUUCUGUUGAUAUAAACGAGAAACGAGGGCAGUGAGAUUUUUUUUUUUUUUUGGAAUUUUUGAAUAUAAAUAUUAAAAAUAAAAAAUUACUCCCUCCGUCUUUCUGAGUAGUAUACAUCGGUGGACUGGGAGUCGGAGACUCAGAACGCAUUCUAAUACGCUCAUAAAACAUGUUUUCAUAAAAAAAAUAAUAUUUAAAAAAAUUAUGUUGGAAAAUUUUCAAUUGGUAGAAAAAUAUAUUGGUCGAAUUUGUGAUUGAGAGAGAGAGAAAUGUAUUAAUAUUUUAAAAAAACGAUUUUAAUUUGAAUAACUAAUUAUAGAUAUGGAGACUAUUGUGUGCUAAUGAAUACACCAUAGAAAAUUUGUUUUUUAUAAAGUCAUGUUACGCAUUCCAAAUUAGGAUAUUAUGUAUUGUCGAGGGUAACUAGCUCAAUAUCAAAAACAAAGUUUAAUACAACAUUUUAACACUUCAAACACUAUUUCAUAUCAUGUUUUGAAUUAAAACGCCAAAUACAUACACAUAUAAUGAUCUCUACACAAUCUGGCCUAGACGUGUAAGACCCAAACUAACAACAUACACAUUACAACUUAACUUAAGCAACCCUAAUUACCAUAAAGACAAGAGUUAAGAAGAAACCUUCAUUUGGAUAAAGUCUUGUCUCAUCCCUUGCAAGAUCAUCUUCUGAAGUCUUAAAAGCAUCCGGGGAUCGAACAAUUUGGCACGCCAACGAAACCAACCAGUCCCUUCUCACCCAAUCACCCAUCCCCUCUUCAUCCGCAUACAUCACAUUAACUCCCUGCACCAAAUCUUGUGCCUCGGCUUGAGUAAUCUUCUCUAUCGAAUCGUCCAACAGAUUAGACCUAUUAAUUUCUAGUUUAAGUUGCUGAUCAUCGUUAUUGGGACGUGGGAUAUAAAGAUGAGCGAGUGCAACUCUAAAGUCAAAUCCAGUCUCGAGAACCCAGCCAUGCCCCGCGUUCUCAAAAUCGAGUUUAUCCGAGAAAUAAUCGACAUUGUUAAUCAUGCAAAUCUUGAAACGCUCGGAGCUAUGAUCAUUCUUGGGCAAUAAGGAAAGCAUCUCAAACAACAUCAUGUAAAAACCACGAGGAUCCUCAGCAGCCUCCACCAACUUAUCCAAUGAAUCAAAAGAAAAAUCGAAGUUCUUUUUAUUCCCGAAGAGACUCACGAAAUUCUGAUGCUUCACGGUCACCAACAUCUCCUCCACAAGCUCCUCCGACAAUAUAUCCCCUGUUUUCUCCACCUUUUCUAACUCGUCUUCUAAACGACUCAAUUUUUUCAUAACUGUUAGCAUUAACAGUAUCUUGUGAUCCAUGUUUUCACAAGAUAAUACAUCAAGAUGAUCAAGAAUGUCUGCCAUACAACUGCAAGAAUCAAGAAUCAAGAAUCAAGAAUGAGUGCAGGGUAAUACUGUUUGUGAUUUAGUUGUAAGUGAUGAUAUUUGUUAAGUUUGAGACACAAACACAAGGCUUAUUAUAUAUGUAAAUAUUUCGUUCAAAGUGCAUUAAUUGAUAGUUGCAAUUUUAUUACAUAUACGACUUGUGUUAAAAAAAAUGUUCUUUUUACUAUAUACUAGUUUAUAGUUUAUCUCGUCACAAAGUUGGUUCCCUUCAUUUUAUAUUUAUAUUUAUUUUAUUUUGUUUUGUUUAUAAUAUGUUAAACCAACAAUAUAGUAUAUAUAUUUUUUCAAAAAUAAUUAUUAAAUUAUAAUGGGAAAUUCCAAAUAGUACCAUUGUACUAUUGGCUUUUCCAGUUGAUACCACAAGACAUUUUGGUCUUCCAUGCGGCACCACUGAGCUAUUGACAACAAAGCUAACAUAACACUCUGUUAACACAAACGUUAGUUGCACUGUUAAAUAGCAGAAAAAAGCAUCUCCCUUCAAAAAAUAUUCAACAACAAAUGUUUCAACAGCAAAAAAUAUCCAAAAGUAAUCAGUCAUACAUACAUUUCAGUAGCAAAUGUUUCAAAACAAAUUCAACAAAGACAAAUAUCCAAAAUAAUUUAGUAACGUAGGAACUUAGGCUUGUGAUUGUGAUUGAGACAUCGGGAACUGGGAAUUAGUAAAUUCAGCUGGCUGAGAUGUCGUAGCUGCUGCUUUGGCAGCAUUGGAUUGAUCCCUAACUCUGGGAUGCCUAACCAGCACUGGCUCACCUCCUGCAGCUCUCUUUUCUUUCUCAGUCAGAUCUCCCUUGCAAGUCCUUGAAUUGUGGCCAAGACAUCCAUAUUUUUUGCAUUUCACAGUCUGAGUUCUUUUGCCCUUUUUGUCUUCUCCUUCUCCCCUUCUUCUGUUUCUAGAAGGUCUUCAUACUCUCCUCUUUAGUGUUGGUGGCAUGAUGGUAGGCAAAUCAUCAUAUGCAGGCCACUGCUCCUUGUCUGGUAUGGGGUUAAUGUGGAAGCUAUAGGACUGUUUGUAUGUUCUCACAGAAUACCAGGCUGAAACCACAGUGUGAGGGUCAAUUUUUGCAUGCACCAUAGCUCUUAUGGCAUGCCUGCAAGGUAUACCUGAAAUCUGCCAAGCACCACAUGAGCAUAUCUUAUUAUUGAGAGAUAGGGGAAAAUGGGAUUUUCCCCCAUGAAUUCCUUCCUCUCCAGGCUUUGACAUAUAGGCCUUGCAGCGGAUGGUGUCUUUGCUGAUAACCUUCAGUGCCUUAAUUAUCUUUGGACAGAGCUCUUCAUCUUUCCAUCCUAAUGCAUGUUGAUACCUUGUUGAAAUUCGAACCAUGCACACUCUUCUAAUACCUUAAGUAAGAAAGAAAUACAAAUGUAUAGAUAGUCAUUAACAGUCACUUAUAUAAAUGUAUAAGUAGUUGGAUUUUACCUUCAAGUAGGGUUAGUACUGGCAUGCACCUAUCAAUUCCAAGAAUAGAAUUGAAGCUCUCUACAAAAUUUGAGGUGUUGGAGUCAUUACACACAUUUGGAUCAAAUUUGUGCUUGCUCCAAGUUAAUGGAUCUCCCAAUUCUGCAAACCAGGCCAUAACUCUAUCACCUCCAGCUUCUUUGAGCCUUUCCAUAGCUUUUCUGAAUGUAAACUGUUGGUUUUAAAACAGUCCCAACAGUAAUGGGUAUAAUCUCCCUAUCACUCAACCUAUUAAACAUCCUCAUCAAAUGUUCAUCAUUCAGUAAUGGUUGAGUUUCCAUUUUAAAAGGGUAGUAAAAAGUCGGGAAAUGAUAAUCCAAUUUCAGCCCUUGUUUCUUGCACUCUUCCUCAUAAUCUAAUACAAUAUCCAACAUUGAUGUCUUAUAUGGAUCAACCCUAAUGUCAACACGCGUAGCCCUCCAGACAAACCUCAACACUUUCUCAACUUCACCCAUCUGUAAAUACACACACACACAUACAUUGAAGCACACAAACACACCAAUAUAUACACAAUCACACCAAUAUAUACACAAACAUAAUACAGAUAUUGACAUUUACACUGAUCAUCGCAAUCUUAUAUCAAACAGUUAGCAUGCAUACACUUAAUACGUUAUUGGACUGUUUCGAAUGGAUUAAAAAACGUACCUUGAGAAUGUCGAGAUUGCAAGAUGAGAUGAUUCCAGCUGAUUGUAGUGCAUUCAGCAGAUUCCCAAAUCACCGUGCUUAAACCCUAGUCGCUUUCUCCUCACCGCUGCGUUUUUAUGUUUUUUUAAGCUUAUUUCAUUUUUGUUUAUAUGUUUAAACAUGUAUUAAGUGUAUUUUAGAUUUUUUUUUAAUUUUGUUUUUAACGGCUAAGUAACGUUUCAGCUAACAGAGGGGCAUUUACGGUACAAUUAAAUAUCUCAGUGGUGCCGCAUGGAAGACCAAUAAUGUCUUGUGGUAUCAACUGGAAAAGCCAAUAGUACAAUGGUACUAUUUGGAAUUUCCCAAUUAUAAUAAGCAAUUGUGCCGGCUUCGCAUGGGUCAUUGAAAAUUCGUAAAUUUUCUUAACAAACUAAAUAUAGAUUUUUAAAAAUAGUUAUAAAAAUAAGAUUCCAGUUUAUUAUUAACAUAUUAAAUAUCUCACAUUUUCAUAUAUUUACUUAUUUUUAAAAAUUCAAGUUCAUUAUUAUCAACAUAUUAAAAUUAAACGGUAUUUUUGCACUUCAAACGGUAUUUCAUUACCUGUUUUAAAAUUAAAACAUUACAUAAAUAACAAAUAAUUGUCAAUAUGUUAGACAAUAAAUAUUUCUGAAACCUAACAAACAAUCCUAAGACCAAGUUUUAAAUCCGAAAACAAUUUUUAAUAAUAUUAGCAUAAUUCUAAUUCUUAAAAAAAUCAUGGACAAACCUCCGAUUUUUUUUUUUUAAGAAUUAGAAAAAGUCAGGGUUUAAGGUUGCUUACCCUAAAUCCUAAUCCCUAAUUUUCAAGCCUGAAGGUUAAGUGAUUCUAAUUUUUUACGGGUCAAACAAAAGCAGAAAAGGGACUUGUUAUCGAAAGAAACACGGACAAAAACAUGGACUAAGCUAAAAAUAGUAUCCAUUGGACAGCCCUACCUAUGACGUGCAGUUCAUCUUAAUCAGAAACUCAGCCACAAAACAAAACCUAAAGGUAUGCCAAGGAGAUCUCUAUUCUGAGCCGAUUUUAUUGCAAGUCGCUAUGUUUUGGCAUGUUGAUUUGUAAGCCGCUAUGUCUUGGUAUGUUGAUUUGUAAGCCAUUAAGAUUAGUGUGUAUAAUUUAUUAACUUUAUGAUUUUCCCUAAACUCGUUUUAAUUCUGUCAUUCUGAUAUUUAACAAGUUCCUAAUCGAGUUCCAAUUCUGAUAUUAACAAGUUCCUAAUCGAGUUCCAAUUCUGAUAUUAACAAGUUCCUAAUCGAGUUCCAAUUCUGAUAUUAACAAGUUCCUAAUCGAGUUCCAAUUCUGAUAUUAACAAGUUCCUAAUCGAAUUCUGUUUGUGAUAUAAAGUCUGUAAAUUGUCGACUAAUUUCAUGUUAUGCACAGAAGCAUAGUAAUGGAUAUGAAGCUUAGAGAAUGCACAUCUGGCUCUCAAGGAGCUGUGAAGCGUAGAAGAUGCACACCUAGCUCUCAACAAAUUGUUCUCGACGAGCAGGAUCUAUUAACAUUAAUUCUGUUGCGUCUCCCUUAUAGACAACUCAUGUCCUUUAAGUCCGUUUCCAAAAAAUGGCUGUCACUCAUCACCGACACCCACUUCUCUCGACUCCUCUGGAACUUACUCCCUCCUCGCGCCUCUGGUCUCUUCAUUCAACGCCCACCUAAAUUGGAGUUUCCGGAUAAAGUCUAUUUCGUUCCUCUAGACGAUAAAAACACCCCUUCCCUUCCCCAUUCAAUACCCUCACUUUUGCUCAUGACAUUUUUGAUCCCGAAAAAAUUCGUAUUCUGCAAUCCUGUAAUGGCCUUUUAUUGUGUUCUACUGCCUUUUUAAAUCCUUAUGGUUAUGGAGAGUGUAACAAGUAUGUAUAUGACCCCUCCACCAAUCAGUUAGCUACCCUUCCUAAACAUCCUCAUGGCAAUGGCAAUGGCAAUGGCAAUGGCAAUCGGAUUCGUCUAAUCGGCUUGACUUACGAUCCUUCCAAGUCAAUUCACUACAAAGUUAUUGGUUUAGUUACUACAUCUCGGUUGGAAGAUGUUGGUGACUUCUAUAUUUACUCCUCUGAAACUAGGGCUUGGAAGUCCUCUAUAAAGUCUUAUGUUCCAGCUCCAGGAAUGCACUUCCUCGAUGGUGUCUACUGGAAUGGAUGUAUGCAUUGGUUAGCUGAUGGGGUCAGCGGCUUAAAUUUACCAGAAUCAUCUAUAUCCGAUUGUUUGUACUUCAAUAUGGAUGAGGAAAGGUUAGAAACAUUUCCAAGGCCUCCUAUACGCGUGGCGUCUUUGAGGAGGAGUCUGUAUUUUGGGGCAUCUGAAGACCAUUUACAUGUAGUUGAGGCUUAUCGUUAUGCCACUUCGCUCAGCGUGUAUGAGAUGAAGAGUGAUUACUCAGAGUGGUUUGUCAAGUACCGGAUUGAUCUCGAUCCGAUCUCCAAAGUUUUUCCGGAAAUGACUGAGCACGAGUUUCUUUCUCGUAAAAAAAGUGAUUAUGCAGUUGGUGUGCUCUCUCUUAUUAGAAGGGAAAGUUUCCAGGAGGAUUCCUUUUUGGUUUUAGAAAUACCCGGUAAGGCUAUACGCUACAAUCUCGUGGAUAAAAGCUCUAAAGUAUUAUGGGACUUCAGUGUAGACUUCAGUCUAGCAAAAGUUCUCCGUUGGCGGUUUGGAGCGCUUCGAGUUUGGCAGUACAUUGAGUCUGUGCCGUGUGUGUAUGCUCGUCGAGCUGCUGGAACUUCAGCAUAAUCAAUUUGGUAUUGAUGCAAUUAGUCACUUCCAAUAUUUAUGCGUAUUUGUACCAGCUUAGCGGCAUGCACAUUUUUUCUUAUUAUUGUUAAUUACAAACAAAUCUGUUUUGUUGAAGAUUGAAAAGUUCGAUGAAUAGAAGAAAUGAUGUAAUAUAAAGAUGAGUUAUUAAUUCACUCUGUCUCUUUUGUUAUGAACACUUAUAAAAUUGUGCAUUGAGAAUGAAUUUACAUUACCUGUUUAAGCGUUUCUUGACUCAAAUUAACAAUAGCCACAGCGUUAUUGCAAGUUAUUAGUAACAAAGAUGCGACAUUUCUUGAUCUAAAUAUUCCCAUGCCUUCGUCUGUUAUAAUAUGCUUCUAGAGCAAGUUGUUUUACACAUUACUUUGCAAACUAAACAAUCUUGAUUAGUAAUUACUCUGUUUCACAAGAUCCUCAAAUGAGCAGUGAGUGACUUUUUGCGUAGUACAGGCCCGGUGUUUUCUCCUGUGAUAUGUAAUAUAUUAUACUAUAUACGUCUGAUAGUAAGUAUGCACUUUGGUCAUAAGGACUAGUCCUUGAUUUCUUGACUUGAGUAACAAUGUUAGAUAUAGCAUGAAUCUGAGAUCAAGUAGUUCUGAAAUAUGGAGGAACAAUGGACUGGACGUGUUUCCAAAGUCAGCAAGAGAAGAAGAUGAUGAAGAAGCUUUAAAUAGGCUUCUACUGAAAAACUACCCACUUUUGGUAGCUUACCGAAAGGGCUGCCUCUUGGAACUGAAGAGAAGAAGAAUUUACUGGAGAGGCUUGUCAAUGUUGCUGAAGAAGAUAAUGAGAAGUUCUUUUUAAGCUUAGGAAUCGAGUUGACAGGUAAUAUACAUGAAUUUAGUGUACUGUUCUCUAUGUAGUCAGAUGUUAUAAUUUGCAUCGUUGUUGCGAGGGUUGGAAUUGAUUUGCCAAAAAUAGAAGUUAGAUUUGAGCAUUUGAAAAUCUGAGGCAGAAGCUCAUGUUGGAAGCAGAGUAGCCACCAAGUCAUCUAUGUCCUAUAUAUUGAGGCUCUUGCCUCCCUUGUAAUAUGCAGUAGAAGUAAUAAUAGUGUACAUCUCCAGUUUCUCUGUCCUCUAUUCAUAUCUUAUUCACUGGUCCCUUAUUAUAUAUUAACCAGACAUGCACUUCACUUAGACGACGAAGCCUCAUGGAUAGAUAAUAACACCGAUAACGGUUAGAACAACAGUAAGUGUGACAUAUGCUUCAAUUUAAUGUAGAACUCCAUCCAUUAUCCUGUUUAAAGUUCAUGACUAUUGCAGGUAUAUUUUUAUUAUCUGUUGUAAGAAUAAUCACAGGCUACUUUCACUUUCUAUAUUGGAUGCAAGUUAAAUGUUUAUUUCAUUAUGAAAUUUGGGUACAGCUGCUUAUAACUAUGACUAAUUAUGUAUACAUGUAUAGGUUUGGAUGCUACUGUUUUUUGUUGCUGUUGUGAUGUUUCUUGGUUAAUAUCUUUGUGUCUUCUUUCAGCUGUUUCUGUGCAACUUUUUGUGCCCCUUUUCUCCCUUUGUCUGCUUAGUUUGUGAUGUAUAUAUAUGUUUAUUCGUUUUCUCUCUGUUUUUUCUAAUUUAUCUCUUUUUUGAUUGAAUUAAUAUGUUUUAUUUGGAGCUAGAUGGUCAUUAAUGCAGGUAUUUAUUGUGAUUAUUUGUUGUUUUGUUAUUGAACUUAAUGCUCUGAAUUUGUUUCUCAAGAUUCCAUUGGCAAGUAGGAUUACGUAGCUUAAGAUAUUAAUUAGUGAAGCCAAGUGCUGAAGUUUCCCAUCUCAUAUAUGUUUUCUUGGUGCAUACUCUCUUUUUGAGUGUUCAUGUGUUAGUUGAUAUUAGUUACUCAUGUCAAAAUGCAUGUCUUCUUUAUCGACAAGAGUGAGAAGGCAAGUUCUUGGAGACAACUGCUUAACCUGGAUAAAGGAGAAUCCUUGAGAAAUAAUGAACUCCUGCAGUGAAUCUUCCCAACACGGCUCAGCCGUGACACCCAACCAGCAUCCUUGAAUCCAAUCUUUAAAACCCUCCUUGACAGUAGCCUCCACAAUUCUGAAACCUGGUUGUUCUACUACAUCAAUAUUCUGCCGGGAAGGAACUUUAUACGUUGGCUUACAACUACAAGCUGGAAUUUCUACCCCUUUUCCAGUGCGCCUCUUAGGAUUAAGCGGUAUCUCUGAUGCGGUAUCUUUCUUAUUUAGUUAAAGAUAGCAAUUCUAAUAGGCUGUUUUUUUUCCCUAUAUUAUUAUGUUUGGUUGGGUAUUUAGCUCUGUUCUAAAAGUCAGUGAUUAAUCACGAUUAGUCACCGAUUAAUCACUGUUCCGUAGCUCGCCAAACUGAUUAAGUCUCCGAUUAAUCACUGAUUAAUCCGAUCAAUUCAAUUAAUCACCGAUUAAUCCCUGUUCCGCGACUUCACCGAUUAAGUCCGAUUUCUGCUUUUUACAACACUGGUAUUUAGGCAUCAUUGUUAACUUUGGCGAUGUAAAAAAAUGAAUGUUGCAGUGGCUACAAAGCAUGUUGUGCGAUCAUCUUUCUCCCAGACACCAAUUUUAUGUUAUUAGUUUCUGGUUAAUAACUAAGACUUGCACCUCUGAGAACUACAGAGUUCAUGUUUUAUAUCGUAAAUACAAAAUAGAUCAAUGUAGAAUUUGGUAGAUUUAUCUUUACUGUUUUAAUAAGUAUAAUUAUACACUAAAUUAAGUUUCUGUUUAUGAAAUACCAAUAGUAUAAUUCCUUCGAGGAUCCAUAUUAUCAGUUCUUUAAUUUCCUGUCUUUUUUGGAUUUAUAUUCUGGAUCUCUUCUGCACAAAACUGAAAUCGAAUGUUAAAAUUUUCUCAUUUUCACCUCGUUCAAAUCAAUUUCUUUUAAAUCAACUGAUCAUAUAUACAUAAGCUCAAAAUUGCAUUCAACAAUAGUCUACUGACUGUCAGGACUCUCAGAGAGAAAUGGAUAAACCCGAUAAAACAUGGGCUGGCACACUGCUUAAUGUCUACAAAAUACUAUUAUAAUCCGACAGAAAAAUAAUUAUUUCUUGGUAACACAAAGUAUUUAGAAAGUAGCAUGCAGAAUACCUGAAACAUUGAUUCAUUCUAUGACUUCUGUGUGUUUUCAUUCUAAAAUUACAUAUGAAGUCAGAGUUUAUGUUCCCACAAUGCAGAAGUUCUUGACUCUGAGUACAUUGAUUUGCAGAUAGAGGGAGAACUUAAAAAUCAAGUUAAGUUGUAUUUUUCUUCUGACAGACGAGUUAAGUUGUACUUGUAUUUUACAUUUCUUGAAAGGUAAAUUUUUUCAGUAACUGAUUUGCAGAUAGAGGGAGAACUUGAAAAGAAUUUGAUUUUCACCGGACAGUCUCUGCACUCUAAAAAUUCGAGGUAAGUUGUAUUUUUCUUUUGACAGACGAGUUAACUUGCAUUUUAUUUUUCUCGAAAUUACUGGGGUAAAUUUUGUCAGUAACUUGCUGGAUGUAUAUGAACUUAAGACUGAAAGCAAACAUUUUUUUUAUGAGAUAAUACACCAGCAAAAACACAUUACUUGCUCAUUAAACUAGUGACACUUGACACUAAAAUGUAAUACAUCUAGUUGAAACAACAAAUGAAGACAUCUGUACACAUGAUCAAGCAUGAUCAUGAUACUACAUUUGGAGAACCUGAGAUUUGAAUCAGUGAGAGUGUGUUCGUGAAAUGUUUACUUUUCAGUUCCAAGUACUCGGUCCAAGUGAUAGGCCUAAACAGGCAGAGGUGAUAGUGAUCUACUAAUUUAGGAAGCGGUGAGAUAAGAACAUUAGCAGGAGGCCCGUAUAUGUAAGCUACAGAAAUCCGCUGUUGCUUCCUAUUCACAAGGGCUCGAUGAAGAACACUGGGGUACAAUCCAUUCGAGAGUAUGUGCAUUAGAUCACCUAUGUUUACGACUAAAACCCCCGUGUGUGGCUGGACUGUGAGCCAGCCAGUUCCUUCCCUGAAUAUUUGCAAGCCUGUUGUAUUGUUCUGAUAGAGAAUGGUUAAAAGGCUGGAAUCAGUAUGUUCAGCUAGUCCCAUGGCACGGUCUGGAUCGGGACAGACAGGGUAGGAGUUUAACUGUAUGGCAGCUCCUCCUAGACUAGACCAGUUAAUGUCUUCCUCUGUUAUGCCUAAUGACCUGAGCAUUAGCCACAUAAGCUUUCCAGCUAAGUUCUUCAUUUCUUUCCCAUAUUCUUCGACCAAGUCACUACAAGGUCAAGAAAUUAGAACUACGGGAGGCUAGCCUAGACUCCAGCCCCGGUUAAAUAAAAACAGAACAGGAGAUUAUUAGCACAAGUAUACAUAACAUUAAAAUUUACAAGAAAAUAGAAUACCAGAAUGGUUUGUAGUCUUGAGGCCAAAGUUUGACAGCAUGUUCAACAGGUGAUCCAAAUAUGGUAAACCCCUCACGCCACAUGAGUUUAGGAAAGAACGGAGAGAUUUUAGGCAAGCGGUAGCCAGAAAUAUCAUUACUCGACGAAAGAGAGACCUUAAGCUUCUGUUCAAUUGGCAAGGAGAAAAGCUUGGUUGUAGCAGCCUCCAUAUCUUCAAGAAGCCUUAAAGAGACACCGUGAUUUUUAACUUGUAAAACGCCCCAUGUUUCGCAUGCAUGCCUCACGAGGGCUAGUACAUCUGGAUCAUUCAGAUCAAUGAUCGGCAAAGACUCUGAUUCAUUUGAGAGGCAAUCAGUGCAGUCAUCUUGCAGUGAUGUCCAUGUAUGAGACUCUGGUAGCUCUUUUAUUGAGUUGAGAUCCAGGUAUUGAGUUUGGUAGGAUUCUUCAGUAAGCAUACUGAAUCUGCAAGGAUGAUAGAGUCUAAUGGUUCAUCUAUAUAUUGCACUCAGACAAACAAUCAGACAAACAGCUGUGGAAGGCACAAAUUUCUUUAUGCAUGACAGCCAUAGUAGAUAUCACUAUUAUAAUGUAGAAGGUGCUUAAGGACUUCUUUGCUCAUCUCUUGUAUAUUUGUGCCCCAAAACUUAUCAUUAUCCAUUACGAUUAUAUUUCACAUGUUAUCAAGUUUGGAACCAAGAAAGACUAUAUUGCAUGUGUCAAGUUAUAUUAUGAGUGAUUAUGUGUUAUGUAUGACGGAAUCAGAACCAGGAAAAACUUAUAUGUGUUAUGUAUGACGGAAUCAUGACUAUAUCACAGCAUAUUUUUCAGAUUCGACAAUUGAUAAUGAAUGACAAUUUUAUUAUUAGUUGUGGUUUUAUCAUAGGAUACUGAAAUACAAUAUGAUGGGAUGUUUCUGAUUUGUUAAUCAUGCACAAUAUCCUCUCUAACUCAAAGUAUCUAACACUGAACUAUUGUUGUUAUUUUAUGAUGCAUUAUUGUUAUUAUUUUAUGCAUUUAUAUGAAAUGUAUAUGGUUAUUUCAGUGAUUUUUGUUUGGAUUUCUCUUUGGUUGUCUUAUGUUUCAGUAAUGUCCUUUUAUUUAAUUUGAAAGGUCACAAAAUGGAGAAUAUUAUAGUUGGCUAUGCCAGCGACUGCACAAAUUAAUCUGAUUACAUAUAAUUUCUGCUAUUCACGUGACUUAAUAUGGUUUUCCCACAAUAUAACAGUGAUACCGCAAAUUCAAUAAGCAAACAAGUUAACGUUUAUAAUAUAAUAAUCUUAACCAGAAAUAAUAUUUUUUAGCUCGGUCACUUAGUAUGAUUUCGUCGUCAACAAAACCACUUAGGGUUGUAAUCUUAUAUUCAAUUGGGACUUUAAAUAAAAACUCAAUUCAUUUUCUCAAAAAAAAAAAAAAAAACUCUAUUCAUGAAAUUCAGAUGAAUUUAAUUGAGAUUUAAAAAAUUGUAUUAGAAUCUAGAUGAAUCAAUUAAAAAUUUAAAUUAUCCUACCAGAUGAAUUUUAAUUAGGAUUUUAAAUUAUAUUUUAAAUUUGUUGUUAUCAAUUAUAAUUAUAUAAAAUGUAAUAAAAUAUGAUGAUAUUCAAAUAUUAAUGAUUUUUUUGGACUUCAUAAAAUGAUGAAUUUUGCGAGAUUGUAUAUGGUGUGUUUUCUGAAAUCUAGCUAACCAUAAUUUAUGAGAUUUUGAAAUAUCGUGCAUGCGUCAAUUCUGCAAUAUUUUAUCUAGAUACUGUUGAAAAAUUAAAAUCAAAUAUUAUUUAUUAAAAUUGAUACAUUAAAAUUAGAAUCUCCGUUAAAUACACCGUCUCUAUCACGUAUGAAGUAUGAUACACUUGGACCUUAGAUUGCAUGCAAAAGUUCGUGGAUUAAAAUUUAUGUAGCUCUUCCCCAACCACAUGAACUUCAUGCAUCUCUGUGUUGUAAGUUGCUGGCUCAUGAGUAAAUCAUUUUUAACCCCUCUCAAAUAGACAGAUUAACGUGAAAUUUACCUAUUUAAACCCAUCAAUUUUUAUCCCACCUGUAAAUCUACAAAUUUACAUGCAAAUUAUAUCAAUUUUAUCCCACUUCUAAAUCUACAAAUUUACAUGCAAAUUAUAUCAAUUUUAUCCCACUUCUAAAUCUACAAAUUUACAUGCAAAUUAUCUAUUUAAAACCAUGAAAUAUGGGCUGAUUUUGCAUUGUGAGGAUUUACAUGCAAAUUAUCUAUUUAAAACCAUGAAAUAUGGGCUGAUUUUGCAUUGUGAGGUGUUGGAGGAAACUGUAUUGUUGAUGAUUUAUUUUGAUAAAAUUAUAUAAGCCUCUUGCUUAUUUGAAAUUCUAUUCAAAAGUUAUACAUUAUCUUCUGUUUAUGUUUAUAAUUUAGAUCUAUAAAUAUGAAGUCCGAUGCUAAUUUACAUUUAUGUUUGGUAAAUUCUCUGAAAUAGAGUUUGACAAUAAAACUGUAAGAGUGAUUCACAGUUUCCGAUGUAACUGCACGUCUGAUUAUAAAGUUCAAAAAGAAAAUGAAGCAUCUCACUUUUGGCAACAAUUGCAGAUCAAGAACCACCCAUACCAAUAUAUCAAUAUUACCAUCAUCAUGCAUUAGCUUCUGAAAUUACUUCAAGUAUCUCUGACAUCAAAAUAAGAAUAAAGUACUUCUGAAGUACUACAUACUUUUCGGGAUUAAAAUGGAAAAUAUACCAAGGGAUCCAAAAACUUUUGAACGUUCAACCAAACCACCAAUGUUAAGGACUAGCCAGUAGAUCAUCUCCAGCAAAACCAGCAGCAAGGUUAGUACCCCUAGUUCCAAAAGCUUUCUCAAUUUCUGACAACUUCUCCACGCGGAGAGACUGCAACUCUUGUAGUUUAGUUUUAGUAUCGUCAAUUUGACAAUCAAUUGAGUGAAGCUCACUAAGUAGGGGCUUGGAAAAUCGGAGAUGUUCUAAAUAGUUCAGGCGGUCCAACAUCCAACUUAGGUUAAUUCCCUGAGUGUGUAAGUAAGAAAAUACUUCCCUGUACUCCCGUAUCAUCUCAGAAUCAACAUUAGCCACAGAUAUUUUGAAAAAGUCGUUUAGAGAGUUGCACAACAUAUUCAGAUUCAUUGUACAUAACUUCUUGUUUUUUGUGGUGAAGUGCUCAAAGGUUUUCGGGUACUUAUGCAUAAUGCGAUCAAGCAGGCCUAAAAACUCAAAAUUGACCUCGUGGCUCCGCCAUAAUCCGGAAUCUCUUUCCCCUCUUGAAGAGCACGCCUGAUCUUUGCCUGUCCCUUCUACGGAAGGGUCAGUAUGACUAACCCUGUUAGCGUCUACCACAGGAUCUUCCACACCAUUAUUCUGUCAGGUGCAAAUAAGGUUCACGCUAAACAAGAUCAACUAAAAGAAUUUAAACUGUAAAGCAUUCUUGAACUGGAAACAAUAAUUUUGAUUAAUAUUGAAAUGUAAAACCGUAUAAUUUCACAAACAAACAAACAGAAACAUAUAAUCUAAACAGGUACUCCUUUUUUUUUUAAUGCCAAGUAAACACAGCUCAUUACAAUUUAAUUUUUGUAUCCAUCCCUGAACAGAAACUGUCACUAAUAUAUACACUCAAAAAAUCUGGUUAGUAGCAAUCGGCGAAACAAUUAAUUUCUAAGAUUAAUAAAAUCUUCAAAUACUACUAUGUACUUCAAGUGUACUAUAAGUUUUAUAGAGCACCUAAAUAUAUCAGUAACCUUGGGGAAUUCCAGACUAUGAGGCAAUUUUUUUAAGGCGAAGAGUAUCUAUUAGUAAUUAUAAAUUAAUAAAGUAUUUUCACAAUUUUGAUGUUUAAGAUAAUGAAGUAAAUGAGUAAUCGAUACUAUACAUAAUAGAUACAUAUCCAUUGUUUCCCGUCACAAUACCAUAAGUUGAAAAAAGUACACCUAUGGCGAAAGAUACAUGCUUUUUAUCUUUUAAAAUUGACAAGAUCACAAAUAUAUUGAGUUCAAAAGAAGGAUAACAAAUUUUUAAUUACCUGGGGCAGUAUUGUGACGAAGGUGGCAUUAGGAGAGCCGCCAAGUAAAUAGGUUCUAAGAGCACUGGAUACACUUGAUUCUUCGAAUCCCCUUGGUAACUUCACAUACUUCAACUUACCGAAUGGAGAAGGUAAACUCACAAGAACUUUGGAAAUCUUAUUGAGUGCCUACAACAACAAAUAUGAAGAAGAGAAGAUGGAGCAAAAUAUAUAUAUAAAAAAAAUUGGUUUUAAAGAAAUAGGACGUAUUUUUUUGUAAGGAUGAUAUAGGACAAAUUGAGUGUACAUUAAGUUGUUAAAAAAAAUAACAGCCAUGGUCGGAGACUAAUUUAACCAAAGGCCUCCAAUUUCAAAAAUAAAUACCAAUGGUAUCUUCAAUCAGACAACGAAAUAAAGGUAUUGCUUAUAUUGUUGUCAAUCAGACAACAUAUAUAAAUUUACCUCAAUGCUCUCCAAGUCAAACGUGAGAUUCUUGGCAUUACCAAGUCCUGAAAGCAUAACUGUUAACCGCCGAUAAAAUUGUUUCCUCCUUGUCAAUUCCAUGUUUCCAAACCAACCCUGUAAACUUAUAUUAACAUUCUCCAACUCGGGAACUCCAACUGUGACCGUAAGGAUACCAAAAGCGGUGAAGUUGCAGAGUUUUGGUGCUGACACCACAACGUUACAAGUGUAGCUCCACAAGCUGGCUUUGAUACUCAGAUUCAACAAUUGAGGAGGACAAGAUAUGAAAGUCUCUUGGUAGUUCGAUGUUAGAGAUAAUGUGAGAUUUUUCAAAUUGACAAGUGCAGAAAGGUUGUCACUCAUAUUACUUCCAACACGUUCACCAUCCAGUUGUAGACUUAAUAAGUUCGGGAAGUCCCAAACUUUGGGCAAACUACAGCGAGACAGACAGAGGGAUGUUAAACCUGGCAAACUGAAAGAAGAUAACUGCGAUAAGUUCCAAUCAUCAAGACUCAGAGUUGUUAGGGCAGGCAAGCAUGUGAACAAUGAAUCCUUCAGCCAUGAAUUCGACCUAUACAAAUCUUCAUAACCACACACAUGCUUGAGGUCUAGACUUGUUAAGGCAGGUAAAUCCCAGACACCCGAUUGCAGUUCACAUUCUUCGAGUCUCACAUUUAAAGUUAGUUUGUUUAACGACAUGGAGUUAAAAGUGGACAACUUAAAUGGUUUAUAAUCAGGUGAUAGUUCAAGAUAUAAGGAUUGCACACCAUGGAAGCUUGCAUAAUCCACAAAAUAUUCAAAUAAUUUCUCAGAACACCCCUUCUCGUAAACACAAAACUUCAAGUCAGAAACAUGGGAUUGAUGGUUUCGUUUAGACAAAACAUGACGGAUCAACUUACCAACAUUUUUAGGUUCAGAGUUUUCAUACGGACCGAAACUGAGAAAAGGGAGAGUGGUCCAUAGAAACCGCCAUCGUCUCGAGAGAGUGCCGGUUUCGACAGCCUGUUUAGCAUCUACAAAUGAGAGGAUUUUGUGAAUGAGUUCAUCAGGCAAUCUGCUGAUUCUGUCUUCGUCUCCGAGAUGUUGAGGAAGUGUUCUUGCUUUCUUCUUCGCUCGAGACCCCAUUUCUUGCUCACCCCAACCCUUCUGUACAAUUCAAUCGCUUCAACUCCCCAAAAUCUCACCCAGUUUCAUUUAGGCCCUGUUUGGCUAAGAGCAAGUCCAAGAGUGCCCUAUAUUCAUGUCCUAAAUCAAAAUUUAAGGCAUGGGAAGCAAAUCAAUGCUCCAACAAUGUCCUAUUGGUGCCUUAAAACACUAGGACAUGUAACAAAUGUCUUAUUUUUGAGGCACCAGCAUGUCCUAUUCAAUAAGAGCAUCUCCAACGGUGCUCCUAAAUCAUUCCUUAAACAAUAAUAUAAAAUGUGCCUCCUAGUAAGUUAAUACACUAGAAAACGUGAGAACUCCAAUGCUACUCUUUAUACUUGGCUCCUUACUCACAUUUUGUAUUUAUUUUAUAUAAAUGAGAGGAAAAAGUUAACUAAAAGAGAGAUAAGAUUGAAGAGAAAUUAAUAUAAUAUUGAGUUAAGAGCUACUAGAUGCUCUUUAAAAGAAAGGAGAGAGAGUAGGCUCCUAAAUUUUUAAAGAGCAUCUAGGAGCCCAUUGGAGCACUAAAUUUUGAUUUGCUCUUAAAAUUUAGACUUAGGAGCUUGUUUGGAGUUGCUCUAAAAAAAUAGUUUCCUACCAUUCCACUACAUCUCUCUCCUCUCUCCUUUUCAUUUACCUCCAAUAACAAUUCAAAUAUAUUAAUAUUUUAAUAAUAAAGCACAAUAAUGAGGCAUGUUGUUGGAGUUGAUAUAUUAAGAUGAUGUCCUAAAUCACUAGGACACAUUAUUUUAUUAUAUUUAUAAGGCAUUUGCUAAGACAUUGUUGGACUUGCUCUAAACAUCAGCUUGUUUAAACAAGUUACGAGCGAGUCCACCCCUCUUCUCUGAUUCAUUAAAAAAAAACAUGCUCCACUUCCCUUUUUAGUUACUCCCUCCGUCUCAUUACUUUAAUGCUCUCGUAAAAUAUAGUUGUAUAACUUAUUUUUAAUUUUUUUUUCCCUGAAUAAAAAUAUAACAUUCGAAUUUUUAUUCAAAAAAAAAAAAUUUUAAAAAUAAGCAACUCAGGGGGGAAGGAGGAGUAUUCACUUAAGAAAAUAUUUUCCAAACAACUUUUAAAUGAUUAUUCCUGAUCUAUCCUUAGAAUUUCAGAAUUCCGCCCCGCUCAAUCCCGAUUCGUUCAUUGUCGUGUUCGGGUUGAGGAUUUUACGGAAUUUUCUUGAAAAAAAAGGGCAGGAAAGUUUUAUGAAAAAUUCGGAGACCAGGACGGGAUCGGGAAUUCGUGUCUUCCCGCCCAAAUCCCAGACCCCGAUUGUAUAUAUAUAAAUAAUAAUAAUAAUAAUAAUAAUAAUAAUAAUAAUAAUAAUAAUAAAUUUAUAUAUAUUAUACUAAAUAAAUAAUAAAAUAGAUACCAUUUAUAGAGUUAAGUAUUAUGGAGUACAUAAAAACAUUGGAGUAUUGGAGUACAAAACAUAAUUUUUUAGUUUGAUCCUAUAUAAUAUCUUUGAUUAUCCAAAUAUUGAUAUAAUCUAUCAUUUAUAAGUUGUCUUGCACAUAAUUGUCAAUUAAUCAUUAAUAUCUAUCAACUUUAACAAGUAUUAAGAUUAUUGUUCUGCUUAUUAGUUAUAUUGCAGAACAUAGAGUUUUAUGAUUUAUAAAAGUAAUUAUUCUACCAUUUGAUCACGAUGUUUAUGUUUAUGUUGCAGAACAUAAUGUACAGGUUGUCAAAUAUUUACAAAUAUUAUUGGACAAAAAAAAUUAUAAUUUAGAUGACUAGAUUACAUUUUAUCAAAUUUUGUACUCCAAUACUCCAAUUUUUUUUGUACUCCAUAAAACUUAACUCACCAUUUAUAAUAUUAAUAAAACUGAAAAUAAUAUUAAUUUUUAUAGAUCGAUUAUUAUUAUAUUAUAAUAUAACAUAUUUUAUAAUUUUGAAAUUAUCAAUUAUUUAUAUCAUAAAUCAGUUUUUAUAUGAUGGAUAUUAUAAAUAUGAGAUAAUUUUUAUUUAUAAUUAGCACAGGACUUGAUCGGAGAAUGCAGAAUCGAUCAUACCUUCCCCGAAAGUUGACCCUACCAGCUGGCGUCAUGGAUAAAAGGUAUAUCUUUAUCUUUCUCGUAGCCGCUCCAAGAUCACAAUGUCAGUUUGGAGUUUGGACUGGUCCAAAAUCUUGGGUUAUUACGAGAAAAUUCAUAUCGGAACUACUUUUUGGAUAUUUAAGAUUCUCGAGUGGUAGAUUAUUUAUUGGAAUUUUUUUGAUUCGAGAGUGUCAGUUCGGUCUAUGUUUCUAAUUUAGAUCCACAAAUAAGAUCCACUUAAAUUCUAUGUCUUUUCGGCAUACUCUGUAAAAUACAUUGUGCCGUAAAAAGUAACAAUUCACAGCCUCCACUUCGUUUCAAUCUUUCUUAUGCAUAGAUUGAUCCAAAUACCACCGAUAACAAUAUACCAAUACCAGAAUUAUGCAUUAGCUUCCAAAGAUUACUUGUUCUGCAUUGUGCUUCAACGAAUACACAGUUUGAUAAAAUGUCAGUAAGCAAAAUACUUAUUAAGUACUAAACAGUUCCGGGAUAGACAAUGGACAGUAUAACAAGGCAUCCAAACAACACUCGUGCGUUCAGUCAAACCACCAAUGUUACGGACUUGCCAGUAGAUCAUCUCCCAUGAAACCAGCAGCGAGGUUAGUACCCCUAGUUCCAAAAGCUUUAUCGAUUUCUGACAACUUAUCCACGCGAAGAGCCUGCAGCUCGUGUAGUUUAGUUUUAGCAUUGUCAAUACGACAAUCAAUUGAGUGAAGCUCGCUAAUUAGGGGCUUGGAAAAUCGGAGAUGUUCUAAAUAGUUCAGGCGGUCCAACACCCAACUUAAGUUAAUUCCCUGAAACUGUAAGUAAGAAAAUACUUCCCUGUACUCCCCUAUCAUCUCAGUAUCAACAUUAGCCACAGGUAUUUUGAAAAAAUCGUUCAGUGAGUUGCACAACAUGUUCAGAUUCAUUGUACAUAACUUCUUGUUUUUUGUGGUGAAGUGCUCAAAGGUUUUCGGGUACUUAUGCAUAAUGCGAUCAAGCAGGCCUACAAACUCAGAAUUAACCUCGUGGCUCCGCCAUAAUCCAGAAUCUCUUUCCCCUCUUGAAGAGCACGCCUGAUCUUUGUCUGUCCCUUCUAUGGAAGGGUCAGUAUG